rnacentral:rRNA from 1 species
UACGUAGGGUGCAAGCGUUGUCCGGAAUUAUUGGGCGUAAAGAGCUCGUAGGCGGUUUGUCACGUCGGAUGUGAAAACCCGAGGCUUAACCUCGGGCCUGCAUUCGAUACGGGCUGACUAGAGUUCGGUAGGGGAGACUGGAAUUCCUGGUGUAGCGGUGAAAUGCGCAGAUAUCAGGAGGAACACCCGUGGCGAAGGCGGCCAACUGGGCCGACCCUGACGCUGAGGCGCGAAGGCGUGGGGAGCGAACGGG